GUGGUGGCACAGCGGUUAGAGUGUCGGACUAGGACCUGGGAGAGCUGGGUUCGAUUCCCAACUUAGCCA